CACCAUGCCCGGCAAAUAUUUUUGGAUUUUUAGUAGAGCUAGGGUUUCACCAUGUUAGCCAGGCUGGUCUCGAACUCCUGGCCUCAGGUGAUCCACCUGCCUCAGCUUCCCAAAGUGCUGGGAUUACAGGCGUGAGCCACCACGCUCAGCCAGUUUGUUUGUUUUUGAGACAAGUUCUUGCCCUGUUGCCCAGGCUGGAGUGCAGUGGUGCAGUCAUGGUUCACUGCAGCCUCCAACUCCCAGGCUCAAGGGAUCCUCCUACUUCAGCCCCCUGAGUAACUGGGGCUACAGGUGCAUGUCACCAUGCCCAGCCAGCUCUUCACCCUCCUGGGUGGGGCUGGUGGGGUGGUGAUGCCUGCCCUGCUUUCGGGCCCCCAGCAGCAGCCGGUCUGUGCCCUGGCUGCCUGCCACCAACGUGCAUUCCUGCCCCACAGGCUGCAGCCCCGUACGGAGAGCCUUCUGCGAGCCCUGGUUGCAGAGAAGGCUGACUGCCAUGAAGCCUUGCUGGCUGCUUGGAAGAAAAACCCCAAAUACCUGCUGGCUGAGUACUGUGAGUGGCUUCCACAGGCCAUGCACCCCGAUAUCGAGAAAGCCUGGCCCCCCACCACUGUCCACUGACCAGAAACCUGGCUGCAGGGCCGAGGACUGGUUUGGGGACUGGAGGGCUGGCAGCAGCCUGUCACCGUGCGACCGUGACCACCUGGCAUGGGCUUCGUGGCCUGCUCUCAGGAAGUGGGUCAAGCCCUGGGAACCCUCAUCCAUGAGAGCUCGAUCCCGUAUGAAGGGUGCUGCCGCCCGUGCCAUCUGGCCCGGGGGUGA
rnacentral:lncRNA from 10 species